rnacentral:misc_RNA from 1 species
GAUGAAGAACGUAGCGAAAUGCGAUAAGUAAUGUGAAUUGCAGAAUUCAGUGAAUCAUCGAAUCUUUGAACGCGCAUUGCGCCCGCCAGUAUUCUGGCGGGCAUGCCUGUUCGAGCGUCAUUACAACCCUCAGGCCCCCGGGCCUGGCGUUGGGGAUCGGCGGAAGCCCCCUGCGGGCACAACGCCGUCCCCCAAAUACAGUGGCGGUCCCGCCGCAGCUUCCAUUGCGUAGUAGCUAACACCUCGCAACUGGAGAGCGGCGCGGCCACGCCGUAAAACACCCAACUUCUGAAUGUUGACCUCGAAUCAGGUAGGAAUACCCGCUGAACUUAAGCAUAUCAAUAAGCGGAGGA